rnacentral:tRNA from 1 species
CUAAUUAGCUUGGAAGGUAGAGUGUCUGCCUUGUAAGCACUAGAUCGCGGGAUCGAUUCCCGCAAUAG